rnacentral:rRNA from 1 species
UACGUAGGGUGCAAGCGUUAAUCGGAAUUACUGGGCGUAAAGCGUGCGCAGGCGGUUUUGUAAGUCAGAUGUGAAAUCCCCGGGCUUAACCUGGGAACUGCGUUUGAAACUACAAGGCUAGAGUGUAGCAGAGGGGGGUGGAAUUCCACGUGUAGCAAUGAAAUGCGUAGAGAUGUGGAGGAACACCGAUGGCGAAGGCAGCCCCCUGGGUUAACACUGACGCUCAGGCACGAAAGCGUGGGGAGCAAACAGG